UACGUAGGGCGCAAGCGUUAUCCGGAAUACUGGGCGUAAAGCGUGCGCAGGCGGUGAUGUAAGACCGAUGUGAAAUCCCCGGGCUUAACCUGGGAACUGCAUUGGUGACUGCAUUGCUGGAGUAUGGCAGAGGGGGGGUGGAAUUCCACGUGUAGCAGUGAAAUGCGUAGAGAUGUGGAGGAACACCGAUGGCGAAGGCAGCCCCCCUGGGUCAAGAUUGACGCUCAUGCACGAAAGCGUGGGGAGCAAACAGG
rnacentral:rRNA from 1 species